rnacentral:rRNA from 1 species
AGUGAACGCUGGCGGUAGGCCUAACACAUGCAAGUCGAACGGCAGCACAGGAGAGCUUGCUCUCUGGGUGGCGAGUGGCGGACGGGUGAGGAAUACAUCGGAAUCUACUUUUUCGUGGGGGAUAACGUAGGGAAACUUACGCUAAUACCGCAUACGACCUACGGGUGAAAGCAGGGGACCUUCGGGCCUUGCGCGAUUGAAUGAGCCGAUGUCGGAUUAGCUAGUUGGCGGGGUAAAGGCCCACCAAGGCGACGAUCCGUAGCUGGUCUGAGAGGAUGAUCAGCCACACUGGAACUGAGACACGGUCCAGACUCCUACGGGAGGCAGCAGUGGGGAAUAUUGGACAAUGGGCGCAAGCCUGAUCCAGCCAUACCGCGUGGGUGAAGAAGGCCUUCGGGUUGUAGAGCCCUUUUGUUGGGAAAGAAAUCCAGCUGGCUAAUACCCGGUUGGGAUGACGGUACCCAAAGAAUAAACACCGGCUAACUUCGUGCCAGCAGCCGCCGUAA